ACUCCUUGCCGUCCGCCAUCUUGGGGAGGUCGCCUCUAGAGCAGGAGGAGGAGCCCGCCCACUAGUCACUUCAGCAUUGCUUGGGGGCCCCGGCACUGCUGCCCCUCGGAGUUGGAAAGUGCUUUUUAGUUAUCGUUUCCCUCUAGGCUAUAGGAUCUCCAAGCGUGGGAACCAGAGGGGAGAUAAUGAUAUCAGACUAGGUGGAGCUUGAGCAGAAGUGAGAAGACUAGGUGGUGGUUCUUUUUAAGAAGAAGCCAGGCAGAGCCAGGCAGAUCUCUGUAAAUUCGAGGCCAACCUGGUCCACAGAGCAAGAUCCAGAACAGGCACCAAAACUACACGGAGAAACCCUGUCUCGAACCCCCCCCCCUCCAAAAAAAAAAGGAGAAAAGAAAAAAGGAGAAAAAAAGGGCCAAUUUUUAGGUCAAUAUAUAACAGGAAAUGUUCCUGCUUCAACUUUUAAUAUAAAGUACUUUUUAAAGGUUUAUUUUUAAAAAUUAUAUGCAUGCAUCUCAUGAAUGUAGAUGCUUGCUGAGGAGUAUGUAUCCAGUCUCAGAACUAGUUACAGGCAUAACUGCCUAAUGUGGAUACUGGGAACUAAAUUGGAGUUCUUUGCAAGAGCAGUCAGGAGAGAUUUCAUGAUUUUGUAAGAAUUUGAUGUGGGCUUAUUAAAUUUUUUUUUAUUUAGUGUGAAUUUGUGUAUAGGUCAUAGGACAACUUUCAAGUGGAUGUAGGGGAUUGAACUUAGGUUGUCUUCUUGGAAGGAAGCUCCUUUAUGGGCUGAGCCAUCUUGCUGGACUGGGUUUUUAUUUUAAAGGAGAGAUCUCUUUAGCUCAGGAUUGCCUCAAACGUGUGAAUCCUCCUCCUCACCCUACUGCUUGCUGGGAUUACGGAUGUUUGUCACUGAACCUGGCUGAUACUUUUUCUAUCCUCAAACACUGGGAGUCUCACUAUGCAGCCUACACAUGAACUUGUGAGCCUCAUUCCUCCGCACCCUGAUGGGAUUAUAGGCAUGGGACCCCAUGCUUCAGCUCUCCCGACACUGUUUUGAGAAAAACAACCAAAUCUUUUUCAGAAGAUUGUACUUACCUAUAAAAAAAACCCACCAAAACAGAUGGCUUACAAGGAUGAAUUAAGACUGACCUUGACAACAGAGCACUUUUUUCAUCUUUAUAUUUAAGAUCAUGAGAAGCAAUCAAUAAAUGCUAAUAAUAUCCAAGAAUGAAGAAUCUUAAGUUAUAAUUAUAACACAAUAAGACACAAAACAAAAUUACAAAAGGAAAUUUAUUUCAAAAGCAUAAGGAAACAUUUACAUUUAAACAAGGGGAUAAACAGGUGUCUUGCCGAAGAAAAAAACGUAUUUAUGGCAUGAAGAUUUUCUUCAAAUCUCUGAAGCAAAAAGAACUAAGUUAUGCACUAUUGCCUAGGCAAGGGAAAAGAAGCAAAGGGAGGAGGAGGAAUGCAGUGAGCUCUGCAUCAGACAUGAGGUCAAGUUAUUUCUGCUGAGUUUACAAAUACACUCAGACAAGGAAGGAGGAAAAAUUAUACUAUCUCCAAAUUUAUAUUGCUGUAGUCCAAUUCAUUUUUGUACUCGAAAUGGCGUUAGACCGUGGCUGAUCUAUCUCUGAGGUCCAUACUAGAUGGUCACAGUUUUCAAUUGGCAAUUCCAUGUUCCUAUGUCUGUUCAGAUUCCAAGGAAGCCUAGGUUCAGCUCAGUCUUGUGGAAUGUUCAGAGAUUAUUGCCAGCACUCCUUAGUCAAGCUGACCAACUUCUUGUGCUCACUUGUAUUAUUCUAGACGUCUAGAAAUAUUAUCUCCAUAAAUAUGUGCAGUAAUUCUCACAAAGGGGUUUUGCUUUUUUCCCAGUGUAGAAGUAAUGGUAAUGAAGACACCUGUAUAGGAAUCGAAACCUCAAAAAAACCAAAAAAACAAACAAAACAAAACAAACCCCAAAACAAAACAAAAAAAAAAUUAACAAACCUACUAGCAAUGACAUCUGAAUAUCUGAUUUGAAUAGCAAACUUGGGAAGGAAAAUUGACUGUGGAACAAAAAUAUAUAAA